rnacentral:rRNA from 1 species
CUACGGGCUGCACCAGUGGGGAAUAUUGCACAAUGGGCGAAAGCCCGAUGCAGCAACGCCGCGUGGAGGAUGACACAUUUCGGUGCGUAAACUCCUUUUAUAUAAGAAGAUAAUGACGGUAUUAUAUGAAUAAGCACCGGCUAACUCCGUGCCAGCAGCCGCGGUAAUACGGGGGGUGCAAGCGUUACUCGGAAUCACUGGGCGUAAAGAGCAUGUAGGCUGGAUGACAAGUUGGAAGUGAAAUCCUAUGGCUUAACCAUAGAACUGCUUCCAAAACUGUCUUCCUAGAGUAUGGGAGAGGUAGAUGGAAUUUCUGGUGUAGGGGUAAAAUCCGUAGAGAUCAGAAGGAAUACCGAUUGCGAAGGCGAUCUACUGGAACAUUACUGACGCUCAGAUGCGAAAGCGUGGGGAGCAAACAGGAUUAGAUACCCCCGUAGUC